rnacentral:rRNA from 1 species
AAUAGAUACCCCGGUAGUCCACGCCGUAAACGAUGAGUGCUAAGUGUUAGAGGGUUUCCGCCCUUUAGUGCUGAAGUUAACGCAUUAAGCACUCCGCCUGGGGAGUACGGCCGCAAGGCUGAAACUCAAAGGAAUUGACGGGGGCCCGCACAAGCGGUGGAGCAUGUGGUUUAAUUCGAAGCAACGCGAAGAACCUUACCAGGUCUUGACAUCCUCUGAAAACCCUAGAGAUAGGGCUUCUCCUUCGGGAGCAGAGUGACAGGUGGUACAUGGUUGUCGUCAGCUCGUGUCGUGAGAUGUUGGGUUAAGUCCCGCAACGAGCGCAACCCUUGAUCUUAGUUGCCAUCAUUAAGUUGGGCACUCUAAGGUGACUGCCGGUGACAAACCGGAGGAAGGUGGGGAUGACGUCAAAUCAUCAUGCCCCUUAUGACCUGGGCUACACACGUGCUACAAUGGACGGUACAAAGAGCUGCAAGACCGCGAGGUGGAGCUAAUCUCAUAAAACCGUUCUCAGUUCGGAUUGUAGGCUGCAACUCG